rnacentral:rRNA from 1 species
GACGAACCGUGCGAACGUUAUUCGGAAUCACUGGGCUUAAAGCGCGUGUAGGCGGGAGGGCACGUCCGUUGCUGAAAUCCCCCGGCUCAACCGGGAACGGGCGCGGAUACGACCUCCUGGAGGGCGUAGGGGGACCUGGAACUUCCGGUGGAGCGGUGAAAUGCGUUGAGAUCGGAAGGAACGCCCGUGGCGAAAGCGAGGUCCUGGACGCCUACUGACGCUGAGACGCGAAAGCCAGGGGAGCGAACGGG